rnacentral:rRNA from 1 species
AUUGAACGCUGGCGGCAGGCCUAACACAUGCAAGUCGAACGAGUGGCGGACGGGUGAGUAAUGUCUGGGAAACUGCCUGAGGGAGGGGGAUAACUACUGGAAACGGUAGCUAAUACCGCAUACCAUCGGAUGUGCCCAGAUGGGAUUAGCUAGUGGGUGGGGUAACGGCUCACCUAGGCGACGAUCCCUAGCUGGUCUGAGAGGAUGACGAGCCACCCUGGAACUGAGACACGGCCCAGACUCCUACGGAGGGCAGCAGGGGGGAAUAUUGCACAAUGGGCGCAAGCCUGAUGCAGCCAUGCCGCGUGUAUGAAGAAGGCCUUCGGUUUUUAAAGUACUUUCAGCGGGGAGGCGUUACCCGCAGAAGAAGCACCGGCUAACUCCGUGCCAGCAGCCGCGGUAAUUC